rnacentral:rRNA from 1 species
AGUAACGCGUGGGUAACCUGCCCUGUACAGGGGGAUAACAGUCAGAAAUGACUGCUAAUACCGCAUAAGACCACAGCACCGCAUGGUGCAGGGGUAAAAACUACCGGUGGUACAGGAUGGACCCGCGUCUGAUUAGCUGGUUGGUGAGGUAACAGCUCACCAAGGCGACGAUCAGUAGCCGGCUUGAGAGAGUGAACGGCCACAUUGGGACUGAGACACGGCCCAAACUCCUACGGGAGGCAGCAUG